GACGAACGCUGGCGGCGUGCCUAAUACAUGCAAGUCGAGCGGACCAAAGGGAGCUUGCUCCUGGAGGUUAGCGGCGAACGGGUGAGUAACACGUGGGCAACCUGCCUGUAAGACUGGGAUAACAUCGAGAAAUCGGUGCUAAUACCGGAUAAUAAAAAGAACUGCAUGGUUCUUUUUUGAAAGAUGGUUUCGGCUAUCACUUACAGAUGGGCCGCGGCGCAUUAGCUAGUUGGUGAGGUAACGGCUCACCAAGGCGACGAUGCGUAGCCGACCUGAGAGGGUGAUCGGCCACACUGGGACUGAGACACAGCCCAGACUCCUACGGGAGGCAGCAGUAGGGAAUCUUCCGCAAUGGACGAAAGUCUGACGGAGCAACGCCGCGUGAGUGAUGAAGGUUUUCGGAUCGUAAAACUCUGUUGUUAGGGAAGAACAAGUGCCGUUCGAAAGGGCGGCACCUUGACGGUACCUAACGAGAAAGCCACGGCUAACUACGUG
rnacentral:rRNA from 1 species